UCGAUAAAGCUUACAGCUUCAGC
rnacentral:snRNA from 1 species